GACGAACGCUGGCGGCGUGCUUAACACAUGCAAGUCGAACGGAAAGGCCCUGCUUUUGUGGGGUGCUCGAGUGGCGAACGGGUGAGUAGCACGUGAGUAACCUGCCCUUGACUUUGGGAUAACUUCAGGAAACUGGGGCUAAUACCGGAUAGGAGCUCCUGCUGCAUGGUGGGGGUUGGAAAGUUUCGGCGGUUGGGGAUGGACUCGCGGCUUAUCAGCUUGUUGGUGGGGUAGUGGCUUACCAAGGCUUUGACGGGUAGCCGGCCUGAGAGGGUGACCGGCCACAUUGGGACUGAGAUACGGCCCAGACUCCUACGGGAGGCAGCAGUGGGGAAUAUUGCACAAUGGGCGGAAGCCUGAUGCAGCAACGCCGCGUGCGGGAUGACGGCCUUCGGGUUGUAAACCGCCUUCGCCUGUGACGAAGCGUGAGUGACGGUAAUGGGUAAAGAAGCACCGGCUAACUACGUG
rnacentral:rRNA from 1 species